rnacentral:rRNA from 1 species
AGUCAAGAGUACGUGAAACCGUUCGGGGGUAAACCUGAGAAACCCGAAAGAUCGAAAGCCGAGAUACAGCAUCCUCGCCGCAUAGAGCGGUGGCGACGGCGUGCACUUCUCGGCCGGUAGGACGUCGCGACUCGUUGGGAGUCGCCGACGCGCUAUGGGAACGUUCGGGAAGCUCGAGGCGGCGCGGCGGAACUUGUGUCCGUCGUUUCGUGGCCCCUCGAACCCGUGGCGUUCUCUUUGGCGUUCGGCACGCCCGACGCGACAUUCAAACACAGAACGAGGCGUUCGUUCGGCGGUGCGCUAGUGAGGCGCGCCCGACUCCGUCACCACUUCGCGUGAUGGCGGAUGCUCUCGGGCGUGUGGGCGCGUUCGCGCGCGUUCGCACACCGACGUCCGAUCGUCGGCGACGCUUUUGCUUUGGGCGUUUUCAGGACCCGUCUUGAAACACGGACCAAGGAGUCCAACGUGCGCGCGAGUCAAUGGGAGCAAACAGAUAAACCCAAAGGCGAAGCGAAAGCGAAGAUCGUUCGGAGGCGAGGGGCAACCUUCGCAUUCCGUCGGUCGUUGGGAGGAUGGGUCGUGCUAGUCGCGGCCUCGCACUCCCGGGGCGUCUCCAUCAGGCACCGUCGACGGCGUUCGCGCGUCGCCGUUCGGUGCCGGAGGCGCACCUUUAGCGCGCACGCUGGGACCCGAAAGAUGGUGAACUA